ensembl:lncRNA
CUGGUCCAGACAACACCUUCAACUAGGAUUCCCUCCUCCACCCCCUCUUCCCUUACCCCUUCCUCCACCCAUAUUGCUGCUCCUCUUCCUCACCUUAUCACCUCAAAACCAACUAUAGUCAGUUUUGCCUUUUCUACUUCCGGUCAUGCCUCCAACAUCUCUCUUUCCUCCGAGUCAGUGCUGUCACAGUCUGUGAGCUCUGCAAAACCUUCUCUAGGGGAGGGUCACAGAGGGCUGGAGUGUAUCCCGGAUGACCCUGGGAAAGAGUUGUACCUACUGCACUUGUUGUUGUCAGCAUCAUUAUCCUGCUCCUGACAGCAGCUGGUGCUGUGUGGUACUACACAUUGAAAAGGAAUAUUUUCACCUUUUGGUCUCAGGGGCAGCAGAGAGACGACAUAGAGACGGAGAUGUGGAAGCACACCAACAGUGAGAUGAAUCUACACAGCCAGGGUGGAGCAGAGGAAGACGAUGAAGAAGAAGAAUCAUACAGGAAGUACUCCAGUGAUAUCACGCUGUGUGUGCAUCCAGGUAUCAAAGCAAACUUUUCAGAGUAGCCUCAGGACAUUUCUUUAGGUGCUUUGUGAAAGUUAAUAGAAUGAUAAACAGCACUGAUAUAAGCCAGUCUAUGUCUGAAAGUGUUAGAAAUGCUCUGAUUGGUAUAUUAUCAAAGUAAUUGUAAAUAUGCACAUGGUGUUCCUUCUUGUUCAAUUAUGAUGUUGUUGCACUGCAGGAUGAAUUUGGAAUCUAUCAGAUGCCUCCCUGAUAGGUUUGUGUGAUCUAAAGAUCUAAAGUGCACAAAUCUUUUGAACAUUAUUGUACUUAUUGUGUCCUUUUUCUAUAAACAUAGUUAUUGAGAUUGAAAAGCUGCAGCUAUCCAGUGUUUGCGUGCAUAAGCAUAUGAAUUUCCACUUUAUGUAUUUUUUUCAUAAAUCUACCUAAUUUUAUAGGUGUAAAGUUUUAUGCUUCAUUCACUGACUAUACAUAAAGAUCAAUGAAUGCUCUGUGGCGUCACCCAUAGGUAUCCCGGAGAUCAGUUAUAAAAUGUUGUGGCAAGCUGUUGCUUUUCCCAGUAGAGUUAGGGAGCUGGACUGACAAAUGUCUGUAUAUAAUUGAUAUCUUUAUAUAUUUCAUUCUUUAAUUGCACAGUACUCCUUUGUGUCAAGUCUCUUUAUACUUUCCGGCAAUACCAGUUGUCAUAAAUGUGAAAAUCAGUCAUGGAGAUCAAAACUGCUUUUUUGUGUCAGCUAUAAAAUUGAACAUCUUUUCAUGGGGGUCAAUGGGAAUGAAUCAUUUUUUGAGCAAGCCUCAAGUGGACACUAAAGGAACUGCAUUUUGGGGCACUUAGAUAUUUAAUUUUUCAGUCCUAGAGGUUGCUGCUCGGAUUCAUUUUUGGUCUUGAGAAAGCAAGAGGUAUUUUCAACUUUCACUCACUCACUCAUGUGUUUUAAAUUUUUUCACUUAUAGAGUAAAAAACGAUAUAAAGGUCAUAAAUAAAAAUACAAACACAUACUAGUUUGAUGACUCAGUUAACUCAAUGAAUGAAUGAAUUGCCAUCUUCAAAUGCAUUUUGAGUAUUUUUACAAUAACAAUUUCUCUAAAAUCAUGAUCGCUAUACUAUAUUGACCAAUGUGAGUGUUUUUGGAUGUCAAAAAGACAAGAGGAAGGAGAGACAAAAAAGAAAGUACAGUGAAAAUGUCAUUAACGAGAUACUAGAUGGCAACACAAAUGACAUGGAACAGUUAGCAGAAGAUGAGGAUGAGAAGGAUGAGGAAUGGACUCUUCGGGACAUGCAUGAUGAUGAAAGUUGAGAUAGCAGUGAUGAGGAAGGCCAUCAAGAUGAAAGUGUAGCCCAGACAAGCAAAGAUGCUGAGGUCCCAUCAACACAGGACACAAUCAAAAAGGAGUUAGUGAAGGGCAAUGCAAGAAGGAAAGAAUUCAGAUGGAAAAAAAUAGAAUAUCGAGCUCCAUCUGUUGAAUUUAUUGCAUGUGUUGAUGAAGGCAUACAGGACAGGUGUGACUGGACACCAUAUGUAUUUCAAACAGUUUGUCACUGAUGAAAUGCUACAGGAAACUGCAGAACAAACAAACCUGAACCGUGUACAAAUAGAGGGCAACUCAGUAAAUACAAGCGUCAAAGAGAUAGAGCAGGUUCUAGGCAUUUACGUACAUGCAAACGGGUUUAGCGCAAAUGUCCAGUGUGACAGCCUGCUGGGAGAUUGAGAAAAAGCUCCCUGCAGUUUGUUGUUUUGUUCUUUUUUGAAUUACUUCUGUAUUCAUUUAGUAUUUUUUCAGUUCUGAAGUGUGUCAGCUCACUCAGUUCUAAUUAGUAGACAGGAGCAAGCUGAGUUUUGCUUUAGAUUGUUUUGAGCAAAAAGUUGCCAAAAC